rnacentral:lncRNA from 8 species
GAAGAAGCUUACUGAACGGUCUGAAGAAAGCAUUCAGGUGUCAGAAUUCACAGUCAAAGGUGAAUUAGACAAAAUCAAUUUGACCUCAUUGGAACCUUGGGUAAGACCCCCAGUGCCUUAAUGAAGACGGAGAAGCAGCUGAAGAACCUUCAACACAACCAGAGCACCCUGGAAACACCCCUGACCAGGAAGUAGACAGAACGGGUAAGACCAUCAAUGGGUAGUCUUGAAUGCAGGCCUCUGUUUACAACUGAGGAUUUAACAAAUAUCCUUUUACAGAUCCAAAGAGAAGUGGCUUUUGAGAAAACGUCAAGAGGUGUCCCGCUGGCAGAGUGUGGUCCUGCAGAACCAGAAGGCAGAACAGCUGGUCUUCCCACUGAACCAGCAGCCCUCUGGCCCAAAACGCAUAGAGCAGGUGGUGGCUGGAUGGAAGGCCCAAACUUUCCUAGAACAAGCAGCCUCUCCAUGACCCUGUUCUGA